rnacentral:pre_miRNA from 1 species
CCGGUUCUUGGGCCUUAGGCCGAAAUUGGGGAGCGUAUUGUAGAUUCAAAACUGGUGGAUUCCAGGGAGUGCAGUUUUGAAUCUAUAAUACUCUCCACCAGUUUCAGCCGAAGGCCCAAGAGCUGG